UUCGAUCCCGGGAGACUCCGGAUGCCAGACGCGCUCGGCGGCGGCGGCGGCGACCGCGCCUGAUUCAUUGCGCCAAAGCUGCAGAUGCGACCUCCCGCCUGCGCCCGGUGCCCCGGCCCGCGCCGGGCCGCGCGCGCGCCUGGAGAGAUGGGGCUGCGGGGUGGGGGGGGACCGCGCAAUUUGUAGGCGCUUUCCUCUCCCCACAAAAGGCGGGCCCUGGCCCCCCGGGGCCAGGUCCCCUGUCUCCAGCUCCCCGGGCUGCGCUAAUUAGCUUUCUCCGGGGGCGCCACGCGGCGUGAGGGGCGGCAAUUUCCCGGCUGGGCUGCGGGGGAAGCACUCCUGCCGCCUGGGAAGUGCACGGUCUCCAUGGCAACCGCGGAGGAGGUCACGGUAGCUGGGCCCCCGCGCGUCACCCCGCGCCUCGCCGGCUGCAGGCGCCCGGAUUGCGGCCUCCCAGGCGCCGUGGCCCGCGUGGACCCAGCUCUGAGUUCUCCGCCCCCGCUCCGCCCUGCCAGAGACUCAGGCCCCAUACCAUAUGACUCUGCCGGGUCCCAGCCGGGAAUAUCGCACCUGGGCACCAGUGCGCUAAGCUAUGCCUCUGUCCCCGGGCUCUGGCACGCGGGACUGCGCCUCGAAACACGUGUCCAACCCCGGGAUGGGAACAUGUGCGGCAAGACGCCACUGAGGGCCUCAGCACUUGUGGAUGCCCUAGGGAAUCGACCUGGAUUGGCGCACCACUCUGGAGCUCUUGCCAAGACGGCACCACCCGUGGCUAAGAAGGCUGACUGUGGUGUCAGAACCGAACGUUCCUAAUGAUUUACUAGCUGUGUGACUUUAAGCAAGUUACAACCUUUCUGCGUCUCAGUUUGUUCAUCAGAGAAAUGGAAUUGUUGUGAGACUAAAAAGUCCGUUUAACGCUUAA